rnacentral:rRNA from 1 species
UACAGAGGGUGCAAGCGUUAAUCGGAUUUACUGGGCGUAAAGCGUGCGUAGGCGGUUCAUUAAGUCGGUUGUGAAAUCCCUGGGCUUAACCUGGGAACUGCAGUCGAUACUGGUGAACUAGAAUGCGGUAGAGGGUGGCGGAACUCCGGGUGUAGCGGUGGAAUGCGCAGAUAUCAGGAAGAACACCAACGGCGAAGGCAGCUCGCUGGGACGGAACUGACGCUGAGGCGCGAAAGCGUGGGGAGCGAACAGG